CCUGCCUGUCUCUGCUGUAGUUGUGGAGCAGAGGGGAGGUGCCAGCCUGGCUGGACUGGAGCACAGAGCCCAGUCCAGAGAGCAUGCUGUAGUGCACAAGUUUGUCAUUACCCUGAAAUAGAAUAGUUUUCUGAAAGCAUACUGUUAGGUUUACAAUAAUUUGGAUUUUUAAGAAGUAUUAGCUUUACAGCUGAAUACAAGGCAUGACCUGUGGCCUAGUAAUGCAGCUGACCACAAGGCAGAAUGAUAGCUAGGCCUUUGCUUGUGUCAAGUAAUCAUUUUAACUGCAACAAGCAUUUUCUGAGUUAAAAAGUGAAUCUGUGUCUGUGUGCUAAAAAAAAAAAAUCAGCUACAGCAAGAAGUAAGAUAAGACAGAGAAACCAUUGUUUGAGCUUACUGGUUGUGUCCUUGAGAAGUAUCUUCUACUGUGUAAGGUUUUGCUAACAUAAUGUUACUGUUACUUAACUUUUAGCUUUUAAAAAGUGCUAGUUCAGCUUAAUAGAAAUAUGCUGUUACAAAGAUUUGUAGAGCACCGCCCCAAGUAUUGCUUUUUGUUAACCAUAUAGUCUUGCUUUGUUGUAAGAAGUAUAAAAGAUCGCCUCACCCUUGAGGGGGGGGGCAUUUUGCCUUUUGCUGGCUUUAUGGUCUUUGCUCGAGCAAAUAAACAGCUGUCUUUCUUUACCCGCGUUGUCUGUCAAUCAAAUUACAGCUAGACAAUGGACCUUAGGGAGGUUUCUCCCACCACAAUUUGGCACCCCAGAUGGGACCCAUCUAGCUUGAAGCCUUUGGAGACCUCCACCCCCUGACACCCCAGCGCGCACCAGGUGAGUUCACCUAUUUGGGUCAGUCUCGGGAGGUGGACGGUCCCCUCAGGACCAAUAAGGCGGGAUCCUCAAGUCGGGUAAAGGAACGGUACCGGCGAGUACCUCAGGUCAGUCUCAGUUAAAAUCUCUCUAUAGGUAUGUUGCUUUAAGCCAACCCCUCCCUGCCGAUGUCCCAGCACAUCGCAUCCAGCCUGGAGACUGGGUGUAUGUAAAAACUUGGAAAUGGUCUCCCCUUGAACCUAAGUGACAAUGACCGUAUCAAGUCUUCCUCACCUCCCAUACUGCCGUAAAAGUAACAGAGAAGGACAACUGGAUUCAUUAUACUCGUACAAAGAAGACAGAAGUUUCACCAGAGCUCAGGAUCGGCUCCAACGCGAGCUUCCCUGACCUGGAAAAGGGGAAGCCAGAAGAAGACAACUGCGGACUUCGUGGGAGCACCGCACGCCCACCUGACCGCGACAAGGGUGAGCCAGAAGCAGACGAAAAAAUAAAAACAAACACCUCCUGGACCUGCAGCCCGUUAGAUAAUAUAAAACUCAAACUAACCAAGGUCCACUAAUGAACUGUCACCCUUUUGGGGUCCUGCCCAGCCCAGAAAGCACCAAACUCCAAGUACUGCAUCCUCUAGACACUUUUGGAUCAGCUGAAACCGAGCACUUUGAGACUGUAACAUGUCCCAGAAGAUCAGUUAUUGGAGCUGCAGGGUUGUGCAUACUGUUUGUGCUGAUUUUGGUUAUAAUAUGGUUUUUAUAACUAUGUUAUUUCUAAUCUUUCUCUUUGCUGGAGAAAUAAGUCUCUCACAGGGGUCGGCUAUAGCUGCCAGUUGCUGCAGAUGUGCUAAUCCUGGUGCCCAAGGUUUUCCUGUCUGGAUAAGCGAUUCAAUCGAACUCUCUGAUAUAGACGGGAAGGUCAACAUUGCCCGUUGGUAUCCUCCCUCACAUUGCUGUAGUUCAGCAGAAGUUCGGGUAUUUACUUAUGAAACAGAAUAUUGUGUAAAGCCUAGCCACCCAGUUUUCAGACAAUUUGCAGAGUCUCCUCAGGCUAAAACUACUCUUAAACCUAAUGUUGCCCAGAUCUCUGAUAAUAAUAUAUACCUCCAAUACGUUGAGAGAGCCGCUAAAGCAGAAAACCGAAGUGAUUGUUGGGUGUGCAGUCAUUUUCCUCUCCACACUCAAGGAGGCAUUCCUAUGACUCCCAUCCCCUUGGGCCCCAUCGAGUCACUUUUAAACCCCUCUAAUAACCAAGCUUGGGACCAAAGUCAGCAGGAGUUCCUUUUAGUAAAGCCUGUUGUUGGAGAUUGGUGUUUCUAGGUAAACUGCUCAGUAUCAGACUGCAUUAAUUUAGACACAAGCAUAUGUCACCACUAUUUUACUAGUUCUAGUGGAGGAGACUGGCGUAAUAAUAACACAACAACUCCUACCUAUUGCAGCUCUUACAAUGAUUUCUACAGCAGCAAAAAUUUAACCAAGGGCACUAAUCCUAUCUGCACCCCCAUCUCCUCUUUAAAUAAUACCUUGUGGUAUUGUUUGUACACUGAUACCUCCCGGGGACAAUGCUUCUUCAAUGGAACUGCAAAUCCUUCCUUUAAAUCAAAGGGUGAACGCGGGGUGCUAGGGUUAGGAAACGGGGGCCGAAUACCUCUUAAGUAUUCAAACCUCGCUGCUUUAAAAGGACAAUACUGGGUCUGUGGCUCCCACGCCUACCAUAAAAUCCCUGCCAAAGGAAAAGGUAUCUGCUAUCCGGCGAUGCUAAAACCCUCUAUGUCCUUUGCCAUGCACCUUCCACGGGGCAGGUGGCGAAACAAGAGGGAUUUGCAAAAAAGCCGUGAUAUAGUAGAUAAAUAUCAAAAAACUCCGCUUACCAAAGGAGUGUUAGUCGGGUGUUCUUUAGCAGGUAUACUCCCAGGAGUAGGCACUGCUUGUCUUGGAAGAUUUACACUACGCCUACAAGCUGUGAUAGAAAUCAUGGCUCAUGAAUUCAGUGAAGGUCACAAGGAACUCUCGAAGGCCGUUGCUGCCUUGGCUGACACCCAAGAAGAACUCAGACAAAUGGUAAUUCAAAACCGUAUAGCCCUUGAUUUUCUCCUUGCUGCUCAAGGGGGAGCUUGCGCAGUUAUCGGACCAGAAUGUUGCAUUUGGGUUAACAGUUCUUUUACAAUAGUACAAACCCACCUCAAUGAUGCAACUGUCCAUAUCCAAAAAGCCGAAGAUAUAGCAAAAAUCCCCAAAGAUACAUCUCUUAGUUAGCUCACAAAUUGGUUGCCUUCCCUUACAGGAUGGCUUAGACCUUUUGUAUUAAGCUUAAUUGGAAUUGUUAUAACUAUAAUCUGCCUGUUGUGCUGUUUUCAGUGUCUAUGCUCUCUAGGACAACAGUUUAUGCAAAGGCAAGUAAAAAUGUAUGGUCAGUUUGUACAAAUAUCCAGCAUCAAUCAUCAAAACCUAACCCCACAAGAAGUUAAAUACCUAAAAGUGUGUUCCAAAAUUUCCUCUGAAAAAUUGGAACAAAAGGAGGAGUUGUAGUGCGCAAGUUUGUCAUUACCCUGAAAUAGAAUAGUUUUCUGAAAGCAUACUGUUAGGUUUACAAUAAUUUGGAUUUUUAAGAAGUAUUAGCUUUACAGCUGAAUACAAGGCAUGACCUGUGGCCUAGUAAUGCAGCUGACCACAAGGCAGAAUGAUAGCUAGGCCUUUGCUUGUGUCAAGUAAUCAUUUUAACUGCAACAAGCAUUUUCUGAGUUAAAAAGUGAAUCUGUGUCUGUGUGCUAAAAAAAAAAAAUCAGCUACAGCAAGAAGUAAGAUAAGACAGAGAAACCAUUGUUUGAGCUUACUGGUUGUGUCCUUGAGAAGUAUCUUCUACUGUGUAAGGUUUUGCUAACAUAAUGUUACUGUUACUUAACUUUUAGCUUUUAAAAAGUGCUAGUUCAGCUUAAUAGAAAUAUGCUGUUACAAAGAUUUGUAGAGCACCGCCCCAAGUAUUGCUUUUUGUUAACCAUAUAGUCUUGCUUUGUUGUAAGAAGUAUAAAAGAUCGCCUCACCCUUGAGGGGGGGGGCAUUUUGCCUUUUGCUGGCUUUAUGGUCUUUGCUCGAGCAAAUAAACAGCUGUCUUUCUUUA